GACGAACGCUGGCGGCGUGCCUAAUACAUGCAAGUCGAACGCACUUUCGUUAGAUUGAAGAAGCUUGCUUCUGAUUGAUAAACAUUUGAGUGAGUGGCGGACGGGUGAGUAACACGUGGGUAACCUGCCCUAAAGUGGGGGAUAACAUUUGGAAACAGAUGCUAAUACCGCAUAAAACCUAGCACCGCAUGGUGCAAGGUUGAAAGAUGGUUUCGGCUAUCACUUUAGGAUGGACCCGCGGUGCAUUAGUUAGUUGGUGAGGUAAAGGCUCACCAAGACCGUGAUGCAUAGCCGACCUGAGAGGGUAAUCGGCCACACUGGGACUGAGACACGGCCCAGACUCCUACGGGAGGCAGCAGUGAGGAAUAUUGGGCAAUGCUCGAAAGAGUGACCCAGCAACGCCGCGUGGAGGAUGAAGGUAUUCUAUAUCGUAAACUCCUGUGAGAGCAGACGAAAGACAGAUUAUAAUCUGGAUGACUGUAUG
rnacentral:rRNA from 1 species